UCAUUGCUUGUUCUCGAGCAAAAGGAGGAAUCCGCCCGAGGAGGGGCUCGCGUUUGAUUAGCUAGUUGGUGAGGCAAUAACUUACCAAGGCAAUUAUCAUUAGCUAGUCUGAGAGGAUGAUCAGCUACAC